rnacentral:rRNA from 1 species
UAUCCGGAUUUAUUGGGUUUAAAGGGUCCGUAGGCGGAUGUGUAAGUCAGUGGUGAAAUCUCACAGCUUAACUGUGAAACUGCCAUUGAUACUGCAUGUCUUGAGUGUUGUUGAAGUAGCUGGAAUAAGUAGUGUAGCGGUGAAAUGCAUAGAUAUUACUUAGAACACCAAUUGCGAAGGCAGGUUACUAAGCAACAACUGACGCUGAUGGACGAAAGCGUGGGGAGCGAACAGG